AGUGAACGCUGGCGGUAGGCCUAACACAUGCCAGUCGAACGACAGCACAGUAAGAGCUUGCUCUUACGGGUGGCGAGUGGCGGACGGGUGAGGAAUACAUCGGAAUCUACUUUUUCGUGGGGGAUAACGUAGGGAAACUUACGCUAAUACCGCAUACGACCUACGGGUGAAAGCAGGGGAUCUUCGGACCUUGCGCGAUUGAAUGAGCCGAUGUCGGAUUAGCUAGUUGGCGGGGUAAAGGCCCACCAAGGCGAUGAUCCGUAGCUGGUCUGAGAGGAUGAUCAGCCACACUGGAACUGAGACACGGUCCAGACUCCUACGGGAGGCAGCAGUGGGGAAUAUUGGACAAUGGGCGCAAGCCUGAUCCAGCCAUACCGCGUGGGUGAAGAAGGCCUUCGGGUUGUAAAGCCCUUUUGUUGGGAAAGAAAAGCAGCAGGUUAAUACCCCGCUGUUCUGACGGUACCCAAAGAAUAAGCACCGGCUAACUUCGUG
rnacentral:rRNA from 1 species